GUGACGCCCCGCUGGCAGCGUCCCCUCGCCCAGCCCCCCCGUGGGCCGAGCCUGGCCCAGGUCCGGGACCGUAUCCGGCCUCUCCGCCGCCGCCACAUCCCGGCCCUGCGUGUCCCCAAGGCGUCUCCAAGGGGUCCCCGACGCUGCCACCACCUAUGGAGACCCCUGAGGCCACCGGGGCCAUCGUCCCCCCCGAGGUGUCCCCGGAGCUGCUGGAGCCGUUGGUGACUGUGGUGGCCAUCCUGGGCGAGCUGGGGGCCACGCCAGGGGACAUCCCCCUGGCCGGGUCACCGGGCUCGCUGCGGGCGAGGCUGGUGGCCCUCAUCGCCAACAUCCGCCGGGCCAUGGACCACCAUCACGGAGAUGCCACCCGCCUCCGUCGCGCCCUGGCCACCGCCGGGGCCACCAAGGCCACCGCUGGAGCCACCACCGUGGCCACCCUCGAGCCCGCUGUGGUCCCACCGGGGGAUUCCGCUGUCCCCAGGGCCACCGCAGGGGACGCCUGGGCCAUCGUGGCGACCAUCACCCGCGAGUGGCGGGAGGCCGUGGCCUCGGUGGCGGCCACCUGGGCCACGGUAGCGGGGGACGCCGCGCACCUGAGGGACGCCUGUGGGACCGCGGCCACCACAGGGGCCACCGCCGGGGUCACCAUGGGCCACCUGGCAGCGGCGAUGGCCCAGGAGGACAGGGCACGCCAGCAGCUGCUGGCGGCCACCCGGGCGCUGCCGGUGGCCUCAGAGUUGGCUACGAUGGCCGAGGUGGUGACAGCCCACAAGACACGGGUGUCUGAGGCCAGCGCGGGGCUGCAGGCGGCCACCGAGGCCACCGAGAAGAUGGCGGCGGCAAUGGUGGAGACGGCGGUGGCUGGGGAGAGGGGACGGCUGGCGGCGGUGGCCCACAAGCCCCUGGGACGCUUGGUGGCCGCCUGUCACCAGGCCACCCUCUUCUACUGUCACCUGCGGCGCCGCCUCGAGGACAUCGAGGCCACCGUGGCUGCUAUGGCUGCUGGACACGGUGGCCCUGAGGUUCCCGGAGUGGCCCAGGAGGGUCCCGGUUUCCCCGGGUCCACCAUGACCGUGCAAGGAGGUCCUGGUGUCCCCGAGGACCUGAUGGCAGCGGUGGCGGCGGCCGAGGCGUUGUGGGACGCUAGCGCCCGCCUGGCCAAAUGCCACCCUCUUGGGGACGCUGCGGGUGGCCCGGGGGCUGUUGGUCAACCCCAACGUCCCCGAGGCCACCACCGUGGCCCAGCGCUGCCGGGACGCCACCGCCGCCCUCCCGGGGCUGCUGCCGCGGGGACCGCGGUAGGGGACGGUGGCUUCGUUGGGGACCAGCGGCUUCGUUGGGGAGUACUGGC
rnacentral:lncRNA from 1 species